GAAGGACACAAAGUUGGAUGAGAAGAGAUUGUGGAGGAUGUUUGAAGAGUAUUGAAACAAGACUAAAUAUUUGUUUUUAAAAAUUCAGAAGAUUCAUUUCAUCUGACACAAACUAGCAAUGAAACUCACAUAAAACAAGAGUAACAACAAGAAUAGUGCCAAUCAAAAUAAACUGAUGAUCUGGAGUCAUGUUACAUUUAAAUCUCAGCUUCAUGAUUCCCAAGACCCAGGAGUAUGUCAUCUUCAUCUGAUGAUACAAGCCAACGAAGACCCAUCUGACAACAAUCCCUGGAUGCUCCCAAAAGUGAAUUGGGCCAUACCUCUUGACCUGCCCUGGAUCCAACUUACUCUGCUUCAACUGACACUCUGACCAGAGCCUCGAGUA